rnacentral:lncRNA from 1 species
CCCCCCCUUAAAAGAUUUAGAUGCACUAUUGUAAAGUGGUUAUUCCACUGGAUAUCAUAAGGUGAAUGCACCAUUUUGUAAGUCGCUCUGGAUAAGAGCGUCUGCUAAAUGACUUAAAUGUAAAUGUAAAAAUGUAAUUUUAACUGACUACAGAGGCCGACCCAAAACAACGCCGCUGAAGAAGAGGGAGAUGGAGUGUAAUUCUGGUCAGACUUCGGAGGCACGGACACCACCCACUGCUUCCGAGUAUAUUACUGGCUAAACAAAAGGAACUUAAGUCCUUUUGUUCACCGGACCUAGAAUUCCUCACAAUCAAAUUCUGACUAUAUUAUCUUCCAAGAGAAUUCUCUUUAAUUAUUGUCACAGCCGUGUAUAUGCCCCCUCCAGCCGAUACCACGACAGCCCUCAAGGAACUUCACUGGACUUUAUGCAAACUGGAAACCAUAUAUCCUGUUCCGGGUAGCCUCAGAGAAUAAUACAGACGAAUACAUAUACAUUGAUUCGGUGAGUGAGUUUAUAAGGAAGUGUAUAGGAGAUGUUGUACUGUGACUAUUAAAACCUACUCUAACCAGAAACCGUGGAUAGAUGGCGGCAUUCGCGCAAAACUGAAAGUGCGAACCACCGCAUUUAACCAUGGAAAGGUGACUGGGAAUAUGACCGAACACAAACAGUGAAGUUAUUCCCUCCGCAAGGCAAUCAAACAAGCGAAAUGUCAGUACAGAGACAAAGUGGAGUCGCAAUUCAACGGCUCAGACACGAGAUGUAUGUGGCAGGGUCUACAGACAAUCACGGACUACAAAAGUAAAACCAGACAUGUCACGGACACCAACGUCUUGCUUCCAGACAAACUAAACACCUUCUUUGCCUGCUUUGAGGAUAAUACAGUGCCACCGACACGUCCCGCUACCAAGGACUCCACAGUCCUCUCCUUCUUCGUGGCCGACUCUGCUGUCCCCACAUGCUUCAAGACGGCCACCACUGUUCCUGUACCCAAGAAUGCAAAGGUCCACAGACGAUGCAAUCGCCAUCACACUGAACACUGCCCUAUCCCAUCUGGACAAGAGGAAUACCUAUGUAAGAAUGCUAUUCAUUGACUAUAGCUCAGAUUUCAACACCAUAGUACACUCCAAGCUCAUCACUAAGCUUGAGGCCCUGGGUCUCAACCCCACCCUGUGCAAUUGGGUCCUGGACUUCCUGACGGGCCGCCCCCAGGUGGUGAAGGUAGGAAACAUCUCCACUUCACUGAUCCUCAACACUGGGGCCCCACAAUGGUUCCUGUACUACCUGUUCACCCAUGACUGCGUGGCCAUGCACGCCUCCAACUCAAUCAUCAAGUUUGCAGACGACACAACAGUAGUAGGCUUGAUUACCAACAAUGACGAGACAACCUACAGGGAGAAGGUGAGGGCUCUCGGAGUGUGGUGUCAGGAAAAUAACCUCUCACUCAACGUCAACAAAACAUAAGAGAUGGUCGUGAACUUCAGGAAACAGCAGAGGGAGCAGCCCCCAUCUACAUCGACAGGACAGCAGUGGAGAAAGUGGAAAGUUUUAAGUUCCUCGGCGUACACAUCACGGACAAUCUGAAAUGGCUCACCCACACAGACUGUGUGGUGUAGAAGGCGCAACAGCGCCUCUUCAACUUCAGGAGGCUGAAGAAAUUUGGCUUGUCACCUAAAACCCUCACAAACUUUCCCCAGCUGUACAAUUGAGAGCAUCCUGUCUGGCUGUAUCACCGCCUGGUACGACAACUGCACCACCCACAACCACAGGGAUCUCCAGAGGGUGGUGUGGUCUGCACAACGCAUCACCAGGGGCAAACUACCUGCCCUCCAGGACUCCUACAGCACCCGAUGUCACAGGAAGGUCAAAAAGAUCAUCAAGGACAACAACCACCCGAGCCACUGCCUGUUCACCCCGCUACCAUCCAGAAGGCGAGGUCAGUACAGGUGCAUCAACGCUGGGACCGUGAGACUGAAAAACAGCUUCUAUCUCAAGGCCAUCAGACUGUUAAACAGCCAUCACUAGCACAGAGAGGCUGCUGCCACUUGAAUAAAUGGAACACUAGUCACUAUUAAAGUGCCACUUUAAUAAUGUUUACAUAUCUUGCAUUAGUCAUCUCAUAUGUAUAUACUGUAUUCUAUAUUAUCUAUUGUAUCUUAGCCUAUGCUGCUCUGUCAUUGCUCAUCCAUAUAUUUAUAUUUAUAUAUUCUUAUUCCAUUCCUUUACUUAGGUAUUGUGUGUUAGGUAUUUAUUUUGGAAUUGUUAGAUAUUACUUGUUAGAUAUUGCUGCACUGUUUGAACUAGAAGCACAAGCAUUUUGCUACACAAACAAUAACAUCUGCUAACCAUGUGUAUGUGACCAAUACAAUUUGAUUUGAUUUUGACAAGGUUCAUCCGUCUACAACAGCAACACGUGCAAAACGACUACGCAAAACAUGCCACGGCUUUGAAAAUAGAAUUCAGUGGUUCUGUGACUCGCAAACACGACAGCUCGCCG